rnacentral:sRNA from 1 species
CGUGUUUCGUUUUAUAUAUUGACAUACUAUAUAAAUAUAUAUAUAAUUUCAGAGUACAUUUAGUAUAGAAGGAGAGAAGUUAGCCUGUAGACAAGAACCCAUUGAUCCAAGUAAUACACCUUCCUACAUCACUCGAGAAGUUUUAGAAGAUGGCAGGAUGUUAAUAACUUGUAUAGCCACAGAGAAAAACGUCACGGCCAAAAAAUACUAUGUCUCUUACAAACCAUAACACAAGGGACAUUACUCUUUUUAACCACACAGCCCUAAAUUAUAUUGUUGCUUAACUACCUUUGUUUUGUAAAUGUUUCAUGACAAUACCAAUUGUGACUCUAAGUUUUAAUGUGUAACAGUUGGCCCUUUAAUAAAUAAACUGAAUUAUUAUCUUUCAA